AUUGCAGGGUAUUGUGUAUCGCUUUUAUGCUCUUCUUUCAUGCAUUUCUUGCGGAAAGCUUUUCCUGCUACGGUAACUUAGGGAAGAUUGGCUGUUGAGUUAAACCCUAAUUCUACUGGGUGUCUAAUUUUCCUCAUAUUU